rnacentral:rRNA from 1 species
UACGUAGGGGGCAAGCGUUGUCCGGAAUCAUUGGGCGUAAAGAGCGCGUAGGCGGCCCUGUAAGUCCGCUGUGAAAGUCAAGGGCUCAACCCUUGGAUGCCGGUGGAUACUGCAGGGCUAGAGUCCGGAAGAGGCGAGUGGAAUUCCUGGUGUAGCGGUGAAAUGCGCAGAUAUCAGGAGGAACACCAAUGGCGAAGGCGGUUCUCUGGGCAUUACCUGACGCUGAGGAGCGAAAGUGUGGGGAGCGAACAGG